GCUGGCAUGGUGUAGUUGGUUAUCACGUACGCCUCACACGCGUAAGGUCCCCGGUUCGAGCCCGGGUGCCAGUA
rnacentral:tRNA from 1 species